GCCGUGGUGGUGAAAUUGGUAGACACGCCAGCUUGAGGGGCUGGUGUCCGAAAGGACGUGCGGGUUCAAGUCCCGCCCACGGCACCA
rnacentral:tRNA from 5 species